rnacentral:rRNA from 1 species
GACGAACCGAGCGAACGUUAUUCGGAAUCACUGGGCUUAAAGGGCGCGUAGGCGGGCGAUCAAGUCAGGGGUGAAAGCCCCCAGCUCAACUGGGGAAGUGCCUUUGAUACUGGUCGUCUCGAGGGGGAUAGGGGCGUGCGGAACUUCCGGUGGAGCGGUGAAAUGCGUAGAUAUCGGAAGGAACACCGGUGGCGAAAGCGGCGCGCUGGAUCCCUUCUGACGCUGAGGCGCGAAAGCCAGGGGAGCGAACGGG